CGGUGGUCAUAGCCCCGGGGAGACGCCCAGCCUCCAUUCCGAACCUGGAAGCUAAGCCCGGGCACGGCGAUGGUACUGCACUCGAGAGGGUGUGGGAGAGUAGCACGCUGCCGCAUU
rnacentral:rRNA from 1 species